GCCAGGCAUGGUGGUGCAUGCCUGUAAUCCCAGUGACUGGGGAGGCUGAGGCAGGAGGAUCAUUAGUUCAAAGCCAGCCUCAGCAAUAGCAAGGCACUAAGCAACUCAGUGAGACCCUAUCUUUA
rnacentral:sRNA from 1 species